GCACUUGUGAAGCAGGCAGCAGAACCACUGAGCCAAAUCCCCGGCCCUACAAUGUUUGGAGCCAUUGCCUUCAUCUAGUUCCAAGACACUUCCAUCAGCCCAAAGAGAACCUCAUGCCCGCUGGUAAUCACUCCCGUUCUGUUUCUUCUACUCUCUGGCCAUUUGCUUUCUGUCUCUGUGGGUUUCCUUAUUCUGAACAUUUCAUACCAAUGGAGUUGGCAAUGUUUGUCCUUUUGUCCUGUUCUCAUAACGCUCCACUGUUUUAAGCAGAGGACCUGGUACCUAGGCUUUGCUGAGUCCUUCAAGUGUCCGCUUUUCUGAGUUUGGUCACAAUGUCUUCCUGGCCUCUGCGCCAGGCCUGGGAGCCGUCCAGUUCUGCGCACAGGCCACCCAAAGAUGAUCACUUCCACUAGGUUCUGGAGUCCACUUUAUCCAUCUCAGCGGGACCUGGCUCAUCCACUCCACUUUCCAAAUUGUGGCUCAAUCUGAGCCAAAGAUAAUGUCUGCCUCCCAUUCCUCGAGGCCGAGGCUACGCUGAGGUAGACACUGCAGUGCAGGUUCGCACCGGCCCUGGAUGCAGAAGGUCGGCAGCUUGAGGGCAGCCUGAUGAUGGGAGCCAAGGAGGCGGGGUCCUUUCCGGCCCCGCUCUUCGGUGAUGUCUCGUCAGACAUUGGGGCCUGAGGCCUGGCACGGGUGCCAGUAGCAUCCUCUGAGAACAGCAUCUGCUUGUCACCCAGGUGGUCUGGGAUGCUCUGGUCCCCAGCACCUGUGGUGGAGAAGAGGCAGCCUCGGCAGCUAAAGGAGCAGACAAGCAGACAGGUGGACUCAAUACUUGGAAGUCUGAAGAGCUCCGGAUAAAUGAGCAGGGUCAGCCCAGCAUGGCUGGGAGCCGGUUGUCCCCCUUCUAGUCUCAGUCACAACCAUGCUAUUUACAGCCUUCCUUGACAUGUUCAUGCUCAGGAGUUCGUCCGUUUCUUGUAACUUGAUAGGUGUGGAGGUGACUCUUACCAACCCUGUGUGACAGGAGGCAACAAACAGGCUCAGGGACACAAGGGACUUGCCCCAAGUCACUCAGUGAAGCUCUGCCUUCUGACAUUCGACGUCCUGUUGCGCAGUGAACAACUCAGGAAAGGCUCCUCUUUCUGUCCCUGUAAACCCAGCCAUGGCUUGGCUGUGGCCAAGGUGGAUGUCAUCCUCCAGCGGCUCCUGGGUGAUGGCCAUGACCAUCACUCAGAACCUGCCACAGGCUAGGCACUCUGUCAACGACUUCCAAAGGGAGACAUGGUUAUCCGCAUUUCACAGAGGAGGGAAAGAAGACUCCUACGAGUUAAGAAAUGUGCCCACCUACUGACUGCGGUGGCUCAUGCUCCAAGUCCCAGCUACUUGGGAGGCUGAGGCAAGAGGAUCGCUGGAGCACAGGAGUUCAAGGCUAGUCUGGACAACGUCGGAGAGCUUGUCUCUAAGAACAAAACAAAAACAAAAACAAGAAACUUGCCCAAUGUCACACAGCUAGAACCAGCCCUGCAAACCACGUGUUUGUUUUUUAAAUGUAGAUAUGACCCCCUGCUAGAACAUAGUC